UCUAUUCAAGCUAAAAUGCAGAAGAUAUAAAUGCUUUGGCAUCUUUUCCAGCUAAAGUUUCUACUAUCCAACACAUUAUACCUCUACCAUUCAUGAUGGAAGCACUAUUCUUCAGACAUUUACCUGAAUGAGGCGAAAGAACUGAAGCAUCAGGCAGACAGAGAGACAGACAGGACUGUCCAAGCGAUGCAAUACCUGGAGGCUGUUUUGUACUUUACACUUACAGGAAACGCUAUGGAGCACAAUCGUGUAGAUAUUGACAAAGUAUACACAAUGUACAAAGAAACAUUAGGCUUAAUU